AGGGCAGCCGCCAGGUUCGGUUGCGGUGUGUCGCUGGGAGGCGCAGUGCCUGGGCUUCCACGUAUGCAGGUCGUAUUCAAGUUACAGGCCAGGAUCGGGGAGGAGAGCAAUCGCUCCCAGCAUCCGAUCCAAAAGUGGCUUCCCUGCGUCUGUUAAGCAAGUACAGGAGCUAAAAAAACCUUUGUCAAAAAGCACCUUGCAAACUGCCUUUGUUCACCAAAUACUUAGAUGAGCUUUCCGAAUUUAUAUUAAUUGCGCAGAAUAGUGCUUUAAAAAUAAUAUGUAAUAAUUGUAACUCUCCAACUCGCCCUUGUUUUAAAGGUGAAACCCACAUUCCAAACCAGCGUCUGUGGUUUUAAUCUGUGCAUUUUCAAGUGUGGAAUGCAAUUUUCUACAUCAGCUACCAGAGCUAAUGCCACAUCUUUAUUUCGUUAGCAGUUGUUAUUGAUUUUAUUCAGGAUGGGCAGACACCAAAGCUGAAUUCGAACUUAUUCUAUGGGUGCUGCCUCAGGAUUGCGCAUUCUGAUUUGUGAUCAUUCAAAUGACACAGGACUACACUUUGUCACUGUGAUGCCAUGUGAUUAUUUCGGAUGCACCCAAUAUGCAUAUCCAUGGCUGGAAGUUCGGAGUUCCCUGAGGAGCCAUUGUAUGGCUUCCAUAAAUAAUUUUUUAAAAAUGUUUUUCUUUCUUUUGCAGUCAACUGUUAUGUUACUCUUGCAAUGUGCGUCAGUUACUUUUUUUCGCACUGCAUCUGUCACAAUUUGCUUAACAAAUUUUAUAUACAUUUUCCCCUUGCUCUCUUUCUGUUUUUCUUUGUUACUUUCUUUUUGAAAUCUUAGAUGUCUGAGGAAAUGAGUAAGCUGUGACCAGAAUCUGCAACCUACAGAAGUAGGUGGAGUCGGCAUCUAACAGUGAGAAAUGGUAGAAUCAUCAAUAGAAACGUGUGUUUGGCCUGCUGGACUUGAAAAAUGUUGGAAUGAAAUUUGGGCAGGCUUUGAUUACAAAAGCAUAGAAAGAUGUGGGUGAAGGAAUUGAUUUGAAAAGUGUAGACCAAAUUUAUAAGGAGGUUAGGAAAACUUAGCAAAUUAUAGAAUUUUGUAUUUAUUAAUUAUGUAGUAUACUGGAUGAGGAAAUGUAAUACUCACUUAUAAAGACGGCCUUUAAUUAUAAAUUAUUUGAUUGCUUCAAGAUGUCAGCUGGUUAACAUGGACUAAUAUUAGCACCUGAUGCACAUGUAGCAGUCAGCAAUAUUAAAGGAUAGGAUUUUACAAUCAUACACAACAGGAACUGAGUUCCAGGUCGUAUUUGACUCCUAUAGAUUAUGAGAAGAUGGGCCUUUCACUAUGGGAAAAUAAAUUAUUCUUCCAACAAUAUUCCAUAAUACAACCCCUCCCACCAUCUUUUAAGAUCAACUGCAAAGUCCUGGAAAGUGUUCUCCAUCCUCCAUAUCUUCGGAGCCUUCCCUUGACAAAGACCAACACAGACAACAAAAAUUAUCAAAAGUUCUAAGGAUAAGUAAAUGGGAACUCCACCUUAAAACUAAAGUCAAGGUUUACGGACCAGUGAUUCCCACAUUCCUGCAUGCUUUGGAGAUUUAGACAAGUUUCAGCAGGCACCUCAAGGCACUGGAAGAGUACCAUCAGUGGUGCCUUCGCAUAAUCCUCCAAAUCUGAUGACGAGGCAGACAGUCCAAUAGCAGUAUCCUCUGCCAAGCCAACAUGGCCAGCAUUGAGGUGCUACUCACUCAAAAGCAGUUAUGUAUGAUGUAUCAUUCAUAUGCCUGACACCAGACUUCAGAAGCAACUGUUCAACUUUGAACUUGAUGGUGACAGGACACACCUGGGAGAACAGUACAAUCUGUUGAAUAUGUGCUCAAAGUAUCAAUGAAGAAAUUAAACAUCCCCGCUCAAAAGAGGUCUUGGCUUGUGACCAACGAAAGUGAUUUAUUCAAGAAGGCAUUGAAUAUAUAGAGAAAUAUCAUUGGGAGCAUGCAGACACAAAGCUGAGGCAUCGGAGGAGAGCACAAACCUGCAUAAUCCUAAUCUGCCUGACCCUUCAAGCACCACAUUUCUCACAGUAUCCACAGGUCCUAUAGGAUCUGUGGAGGAUCUACAAAUCACACACUGAAUCUGUCAACCAUCUCAGAACCCAUUGAAUUAUAGUGCAAACAAGUCAUUUUUGAUCUAGAAGGGCUGCCUAAUAAGAAGAUAUCACAACAGGCACACAGACACAAGAUAAAUACUGACCAACACUAUUGUUCUGUUUGUUGGUACACUAUGUAUCAAACUGAAUAAACCUGAAAUGAUUUUCUGAAACUUCAGGAAACCUAAAUCAGCUGUGAAUUCCCAGCCAGUUCAGAUGUUUUUCAUCCUUAGCUGUUAGUUGAGUCUUCGCUCAUAAAAUUUUCCUCUAGUUAGAAAGUUUGCAGUUAUGACAAAAAUGAGGGACUGUAAUGUUUUUCACCUUUUUCCAGUACUAAUGACACUGGUCAGUCCCUGUCAUCUUUAUGUAGGCUGAGGAUUUUCAGAGCUUUCUCAGAUGAGCAAAAAUGGGAGCUGAGAAAAGCAGACUUAAAAGGUAAAAUACAGCAGUUGAUAGAGGGAAAUGGAGGAAUGUCUCCUGAGAGUCAAGCUCACGCAGCUUCAUACUAAUUCUGCCUGAGCCAAGUCUAAGUUAUGGCAAGCCUAGUGGUAUUUAUGCUAAACUAUUAAUCCAGAAACUGAUGUUCUGGGGACUUGAAUUGAAUCCUGCCAAAGCAGAUGGCAAUUUGAAUUUAAUUAAAAAUAUCUGGAAUUAAG